rnacentral:rRNA from 1 species
GCCAGCAGCCGCGGUAAUACGAAGGUGGCAAGCGUUAUUCGAAUCAUUGGCUUAAAGGGCACGCAGGCGGAACAGUGUGUGUUGUGUGAAAUCCCCCGGCUUAACCGGGGAGUUGCACAGCAAACUGCUGUUCUUGAGGCAGGUAGGGGUGCAUGGAACUCUUGGUGGAGCGGUGGAAUGCGUAGAUAUCAAGAGGAACGCCAGAGGUGAAGACGGUGCACUGGGCCUGUCCUGACGCUGAGGUGCGAAAGCGUGGGGAGCGAACGGGAUUAGAUACCCCGGUAGUCCACGCCGUAAACGAUGUCUACUAGGUCGUGGGUGUUCUGACACAUUCACGGCCGGAGCAAAAGUGUUUAGUAGACCGCCUGGGGAGUACGGCCGCAAGGUUAAAACUCAAAUGAAUUGACGGGGGCUCACACAAGCGGUGGAGCAUGUGGAUUAAUUCGAAGCAACGCGCAGAACCUUACCUGGGUUUGACAUGCUUGUAUGCCUUCUCUGAAAGGAGUUAGGCUGCCUUCGGGUGAAACUUGCACAGGUGCUGCAUGGCUGUCGUCAGCUCGUGUCGUGAGAUGUCGGGUUAAGUCCUUUAACGAGCGAAACCCUUGCCGUUAGUUGCCAGCGAGUAAUGUCGGGGACUCUAACGGGACUGCCGGUGUUAAACCGGAGGAAGGUGGGGAUGACGUCAAGUCCUCAUGGCCUUUAUGCCCAGGGCUUCACACGUGCUACAAUGGCAAUUACAGAGCGACGCGAUACCGCGAGGUGGAGCAAAUCGCAAAAAAAUUGCCUCAGUUCGGAUUGCAGGCUGGCAAUUCGCCUGCAUGAAGUCGGAAUCGCUAGU